AUAAUGGGUCAGCGACUUAUAUUCUGUAGCAAGGUUAACCGAAUAGGGGAGCCGAAGGGAAACCGAGUCUUAACUGGGCGUUAAGUUGCAGGGUAUAGACCCGAAACCCGGUGAUCUAGCCAUGGGCAGGUUGAAGGUUGGGUAACACUAACUGGAGGACCGAACCGACUAAUGUUGAAAAAUUAGCGGAUGACUUGUGGCUGGGGGUGAAAGGCCAAUCAAACCGGGAGAUAGCUGGUUCUCCCCGAAAGCUAUUUAGGUAGCGCCUCGUGAAUUCAUCUCCGGGGGUAGAGCACUGUUUCGGCAAGGGGGUCAUCCCGACUUACCAACCCGAUGCAAACUGCGAAUACCGGAGAAUGUUAUCACGGGAGACACACGGCGGGUGCUAACGUCCGUCGUGAAGAGGGAAACAACCCAGACCGCCAGCUAAGGUCCCAAAGUCAUGGUUAAGUGGGAAACGAUGUGGGAAGGCCCAGACAGCCAGGAUGUUGGCUUAGAAGCAGCCAUCAUUUAAAGAAAGCGUAAUAGCUCACUGGUCGAGUCGGC
rnacentral:rRNA from 1 species